ACUUGCAACUCACGUCUCGAGCCUCUCCUUUCCUCUUUUUUUUUUCACUGCGCCCCCCGUGCAUGCGAGCGAGCGAGCGAGAGAGACAGAGCGCUGCGUCGUGGCCGGCGUGGCGCGUGGUAAACCAAAUCCUCCCUCCGCCGCUCCGGCCCCCAGCCAUCCGCCCGGCCGGUCACCUCUCCUCUCCCCGCGCCACGGAAAAUGGCGCCAACCCCUCCCCAAUCUCCCGCGCGGCCCCGCCCCCGCUAUUUCCCCCUCGCCUGACCUGGCCCGGCCCGACCGCGCACCCCCCAAACCCUAACCCCCGCGGCCGGCCAUGGCGUCGCAGCCCAGGCCGCCGCCGCCGCCGCGCCCCAAGACGCGGGGCAACUACAACUGCGGCCGGUGCGGCCAGCCCAAGAAGGGCCACGUCUGCGUCGCCCCCGUCCCCGUCGCGGCCUCCCCCUCCGGGGCCGCCCUGUCCCCGUCGCCCUCCACCUCGUCAGGGGCCGCCAGCGCCAGCGCCAGCGGGGAGCAGAGGCUCCGCCGUGCCCUGUCGUUCGACGAGGCGGGGACCCCGUCCUCGCCCGAGAAGAAGCCCAAGGUGGAGCCGGACGUGGAGAUGGACGAGGCGGGCGGCGAGGGGGACCAGCUGGGGGAGGGCGGCGAGGAGGAGGAGGAGGAGGGCGCGGUGAUGGAGGUGGGCGGGCGCCCCGUGCCCAGGGAGGUCAUGGCGGAGGUGCUGCGUCGGCUCGGGCCCCGCGGGGUCAUGGCCGCCGCGGGGGUCAGCCGCGGCUGGCGGGACUGCGCGGGCCGGGUCUGGCGCGCGGCCGACGAGCUCCGCCUCCGCGUCCUCGCCGCCUCGGGCGCCGGCCUCCUCGGCGCGCUGCUACCGCGGUGCCCCGCGCUCUCACGCCUGCAACUCCGAAUGGAAAGAUCUUGGUGCCCUGGAUCAUAUUUGAGGAUUGGUCAGGUCGUUAUGGCUAUGCCAGAUUUCAGUGAUGUUGAUGCCGCUACACUGGCAUGUCUUGCAGUUUCCUGCCCAAGUUUAAAAACUCUUGAGAUUACCAUGGCUGCCAAUGCAGUCAACAGGAUGACUGGAGAGGAUCUAAGUCGUUUUGUUUCGGAGAAGUCUUCUCUGUCAGUCCUCAAAAUUGGUGGUUGCUCUAAUUUGGAUUUUAUUAAUCUAUGCUCUUCAAGCCUUUCGGUUAUUUGGCUGUCAGAUCUUUGUUCCCUUUCAAAAUCGGUCAUGAACUGUCCUAAUAUGAGUGAGCUCUCACUGUGCUUCGCACAGCAAAGUAAUGAUUGUACUGAUAUGGUUACUUUGAUGGAUGGCAUUGGUCGUACAUGCCCUAACUUAAACAAAAUGCACAUAUCGUCAAAUCAAUUAUCCAAUGAAGCUGUAUUUGCUCUAGAGAGUGCUAAUCUCAGGGGACUGUCAAUGCUAUCUUUGAUUCUAGGUUCAAAAAUAACUGAUGCAGCUGUUGCAUCUAUUGUUCGAUUGUGCGCAAGCUUGGAGUUGCUUGAUUUAAGUGGAUCUAGCAUCAGUGAUAAUGGUGUUGGGAUGAUCUGCAAGGCGUUCCCUCAUACUUUAUCAAGGCUGCUCCUUGCCCUCUGCCCAAAUGUGACUACACGUGGGAUCCAGUUAGCCACGGCACAGUUGCCACAUCUUCAACUCAUGGACUGUGGAAUGAGCCUAUGUGCUAAUUUGAACAAUGACAAAGAGGGGCCAUGUUUUGGUGAAAUCAAUGGAGGCAUUAGAAUCAUUCGAAAGUUAUGCACCUUAAAAAAGCAACCUGUUCUUCAGAAGCUUAUUAUAAAGCAUGGUAAUUUGAAGAAACUCAGUCUGUGGGGUUGUUCAGCGAUUGAUGCUCUAUAUGUAAAUUGUCCACAAUUAAAUGAUCUCAAUCUCAACUCUUGCACAAAUUUGCAUCCAGAACGUCUGCUUCUUCAGUGCCCAAAUUUGAAGAAUGUCCAUGCAGCUGGAUGCCAAGAUAUGUUGAUUGGAGCAAUCAGAAAUCAGACACUGAUAACCUGCAAGCCACAAAACCUAAACAAGCAAUUUUUGUGAACCGGAGUCUAGCAUGGAGUGAGCUGCAUUGGAGCCGAAGGUUCCAGGAAAUUUCACUGGGCGUCAACCUCAACAACCCACAUCCUGGAUAGGCAGGUUGUACUGUAGCACCACAUGUGCACCCUAACCCUAGCUACACUUUUGAGUUAAUUCUCGUGUUUGGUUUGUUCUAGAUUCCUUGAUCUACCAUGACCGGUGCUAUCUACCUUUUGUGACUUCUUGUUAUCACCCAGGCAUUGCCGUCUUUCAAACUGAUGUCUGUGCGUGGCCACGAGUCACCUCAGUGCAAGCUACACUUGUGAUGAGGUGGCUCUGCCAUCCAUGAAUGUGUGGACAUUACUGCUGGUUCUGAAUGAGUUCGCUGCAGCUGAAUCAUCUCUUCCAUGCAAGCGGCUAGUGGACGGUUCAAAACGUGUUCAACUCCCCCAAUUCCUACAACAUCAGCCGUCGGAGGAUGACAAAUUGUUUGAAUUGAGCCGUACCCAGUGCACCAUGCAUCUUGACAUCACCAGAGCCAGUUAACUGAGCAGUUGUACACACCCAAUUAUGCGAAUUAUGAACCGCAUAAACUUAUUAAUUCUUUGUGUAAUUACUGCAUUGCCUCAUAACCUAUAGUGUUUGUUGUAUAAGUUGCUAAUUGCUGUGUAGGAUUUGCAUGAAUUCCAUCAUCUGUUUCUUGUAGAGCAAUAAUUUGUAACAAUGACCCUGUAUUCUCUUGGAAGCAAUAAUGAUCCUAGAUCCCUUCAACUGUUGCGUUUGA